GAAAGAGGUGGUUGAAAGGAAAAACGAACUCGCAGCUCUCCGGCUUCCGAGUUGUUGGAGGAAGGGGGCGGUGAGCAAGAAGAAUCCACUGCACCCCGGUUCUCAGCAACUCUCCUGCGGACCUCCUCGCGACGUACCCGCCGCCGCUGUUGGCUGGAGCAUUUGACAUUGUGCAGCAAAGAAAUGGUUAUGGAGAAGCCCAGACCGCUGCUGGUAGGGUGGGAGUUUGUGAGGCAAUAUUAUACUUUGCUGAAUAAGUCUUCAGAAUAUUUACACAGAUUUUAUGGCAGGAAUUCUUUCUAUGUUCAUAGUGGAGUAGAUGUUACUGGAAAGCCCCAAGAGGCUGUUUAUGGCCAAAAUGAUAUACACCACAAAGUAUUAUCUCUGAACUUCAGUGAAUGUCAUACUAAAAUUCGUCAUGUGGAUGCUCAUGCAACCUUGAGUAAUGGAGUAGUUGUCCAGGUCAUGGGUUUGCUGUCUAACAGUGGACAACCAGAAAGGAAGUUUAUGCAAACCUUUGUUCUGGCUCCUGAAGGAUCUGUUCCAAAUAAAUUCUAUGUUCACAAUGAUAUGUUUCGUUAUGAAGAUAAAGUGUUUGGUGAUUCUGAGCCUGAACUUGAUGAAGAAUCAGAAGAUGAAGUAGAAGAGGAACAAGAAGAAAGACAACCAUCUCCUGAACCUAUGCAAGAAAAUGCAAACAGUGGUUACUACGAAGUUCACCCUGUGACUAAUGGCAUAGAGGAGCCUUUGGAAGAAUCCUCUCAUGAACCUGAACCUGAGCCAGAAUCUGAAACAAAGACUGAAGGGCUGAAACCACAAGUGGAGGAGAAGAACUUAGAAGAAUUGGAGGAGAAGUCUGCUACUCCUCCUCCAGCAGAACCUGUUUCUCUGCCACAAGAACCACCAAAGGCUUUCUCCUGGGCUUCAGUGACCAGUAAAAACCUGCCUCCUAGUGGUACUCUUUCUUCCUCUGGAAUUGCACCCCAUGUUAAAGCACCAGUCUCACAGCCAAGAGUUGAAACUAAACCAGAAGUUCAAUCUCAGCCACCUCGUGUGCGUGAACAGCGACCUAGAGAGCGAACUGGUUUCCCUCCUGGAGGACCAAGACCAGGCAGAGGAGAUAUGGAACAGAAUGACUCUGACAACCAUAGAAUAAUUCGCUGUCCAGAUAGUCAUCAACUUUUUGUUGGUAACUUGCCACAUGAUAUUGAUGAAAAUGAACUGAAAGAAUUCUUCAUGAGUUUUGGAAACGUUGUGGAACUUCGCAUCAAUACCAAGGGUGUUGGGGGAAAGCUUCCAAAUUUUGGCUUUGUGGUUUUUGAUGACUCUGAACCAGUUCAGAGGAUCUUAAUUGUGAAACCGAUUAUGUUUCAAGGACAAGUUUAAAUGUGGAAGAGAAAAAAAACAAGAGCUGCAAGAGAGCGAGAAACCAUAGGUGGUGGUGGUGAUCGCGGGGAUAUUAAGUGCAAUAAUUGAGGUCCUAGUGGUCCACGUGGAAUUGUGGGUGGUGGAAUGAUGCGUGAUCGUGAUGGAAGAGGACCUCCUCCAAGGGGUGGCAUGGCACAGAAACUUGGCUCUGGAAGAGGAACCGGGCAAAGAGAAGGCGGCGUCACAGGACAGCGUCGCUGUAGCUCCACUGUUGGCAGAGUCUUGACAGUGGUACAAUAUUCAUCGUGUUUGCAGUCUUGUUAAUUUGAUUUUUUGUCUUUGGAAUUUGACACAGCCUUUUUGAUCAUUUCUUUGAUGUGAAAAGCAUCUUUUGGUUAUCAGUUAAAUUGAGGUGGACAUUAUUUCCCGUUUCACAACAGGAUUCACAUUGUUAAUUUAUAAAUCUAGACUUGGAGAAUUAAGGACUGAGAACUGACCAUAUUUUAAACUAUCUAUGACAAAGCGAACUUAAAAGGACAUGCCCACUGAAUUCAGGUCCUUUGAG